GGGAAUAUUGGGGUCAAUGGGGUCAUUAUAGGGACAUGGGGGGCAAUGGAGUCAUGUGGGGCAAUGGGGACAUUGAGGUCAAUAAGGUCAUUAUAGGGACAUGGGGGGCAAUGGGGUCAAUGGGGUCAUUAUAGGGACAUGGGGGGCAAUGGGGUCAAUGGGGACAUUAUAGGGACAUGGGGGGCAAUGGAGUCAAUGGGGUCAUUAUAGGGACAUGGGGGGCAAUGGGGUCAUUAUAGGGAAAUGGGGGAUAAUGGGGUCAAUGGGGUCAUUAUAGGGACAUGGGGGGCAAUGGGGUCAUUAUAGGGACAUGGGGGGCAAUGGGGUCA
ensembl:lncRNA